CCCCCACCUUCCCACCACUCCCGGAUCAUCUGCGCCGCCCCUGUCCUGCUCCCAGCCACAGAGCAUCCGCCGGCGCCGAUCGAUCCCCCGUUCGCUUCACUCAGAGGAUCCCGGGAGGUUGGGCCACUGGCCGCACCGGCGCCAGGAGCCGACACCUGCCCCCCCGUCGCACUGUCCCUUUCCGCUCCCCCGCCGCCGCCGCACGCACCAGCGAAGCAAAUCCCAGCUCACUCGAUCCACCACCCGCCCGCCCGGGCCGAGUCGAGUCGCUUGCCUUCCAAUCUGGUCGUCUCGCGCAUCGAUCGAUCGCCCCCGCGCACGCGUCCAUCGCUUUGCCAUCUCCGGCAUCCCCAAUCAACCUAUAUAGCUCCCCGCGAAAAUCCCUCUCUCCCGGCUCUUCUUGUUCUUCGUUGCAGCAGUGGGAAGGGAGGGGGAGGUGGUGGUGGGGAGGGAUGGAUCUGGGGGACGGCGGGGAGUCGGAGAGGAAAGGGGCGGCGCCGCCGAUGCCGCUGGCGAGGCAGGGGUCGGUGUACUCGCUGACCUUCGACGAGUUCCAGAGCACGCUCGGAGGGGCGUCCGGCGGCGGCGGGCUCGGGAAGGACUUCGGGUCCAUGAACAUGGACGAGCUGCUGCGGAGCAUCUGGACGGCGGAGGAGAGCCAAGCGAUGGCUUCGGCGUCCGCGGCCCCCGCGGGGGAGCUGCAGCGGCAGGGCUCGCUGACCCUGCCCCGCACGCUCAGCAUCAAGACGGUGGACGAGGUCUGGCGGGACUUCGUGCGAGACGCGUCGCCAGGUGCGGCCGGCGGCGGGGAGCCGCUGCCUAAGCGGCAACCGACGCUCGGUGAGAUGACGCUGGAGGAUUUCCUUGUCAGGGCCGGGGUCGUCCGAGAGAACCCCGCUGCCGCGGCAGCGGUGGACGCAGCCGUGCCGCCGCCCCUGGCUGCGCGGCCCAUUCAGGUGGUAAACAAUGGCUCUAUGUUCUUCGAGAACUUUGGUGGUGCCAAUGGCGCCUCCGGCGCAAGUGCGAUGGGGUUCGCUCCGGUGGGGAUUGGGGAUCCAAGUCAUCCGACCAUGGGAAACGGGAUGAUGCCUGGCGUGGCAGGGAUGGGGGUUGGUGCAGUCACCGUGGGUCCGCUGGAUACGUCAAUGGGUCAGCUUGAUUCCGUAGGCAAGGUGAAUGGGGAACUGUCGUCGCCUGUGGAGCCGGUGCCUUACCCCUUUGAGGGUGUGAUAAGGGGCAGGAGGAGUGGUGGGCAUGUGGAGAAGGUGGUGGAGCGGCGUCAGAGGAGGAUGAUCAAGAACAGGGAAUCUGCAGCCAGAUCACGAGCUCGGAAACAGCUGUUUUGUGGUUGCAAGAGGCUGCGCUAAAAGAUAAUAUUCUGAAUCUGAUAAAUCGGCAUGUUGGCCUUGCCCUUGCCAUGUUGAUAACAAUGGAUAUUGCCCAAGGCAUACACUAUGGAGUUGGAAGCUGAAGUUCAGAAACUCAAGGAACAAAACGAGGAGUUGCAGAAGAAACAGGAGGAAAUGCUAGAAAUGCAGAAAAACAAG